AGAAAAUAGGUGCCCGUACCGCAAACCGACACAGGUAGUCAAGAUGAGAAUUCUAAGGUGAGCGAGCGAACUCUCGUUAAGGAACUCGGCAAAAUGACCCCGUAACUUCGGGAGAAGGGGUGCUCUUUAGGGUUAACGCCCAGAAGAGCCGCAGUGAAUAGGCCCAAGCGACUGUUUAUCAAAAACACAGGUCUCUGCUAAACCGUAAGGUGAUGUAUAGGGGCUGACGCCUGCCCGGUGCUGGAAGGUUAAGAGGAGUGGUUAGCUUCUGCGAAGCUACGAAUCGAAGCCCCAGUAAACGGCGGCCGUAACUAUAACGGUCCUAAGGUAGCGAAAUUCCUUGUCGGGUAAGUUCCGACCCGCACGAAAGGCGUAACGAUUUGGGCACUGUCUCAACGAGAGACUCGGUGAAAUCAUAGUACCUGUGAAGAUGCAGGUUACCCGCGACAGGACGGAAAGACCCCGUGGAGCUUUACUGUAGCCUGAUAUUGAAAUUCGGCACAGCUUGUACAGGAUAGGUAGGAGCCUUUGAAACGUGAGCGCUAGCUUACGUGGAGGCGCUGGUGGGAUACUACCCUAGCUGUGUUGGCUUUCUAACCCGCACCACUUAUCGUGGUGGGAGACAGUGUCAGGCGGGCAGUUUGACUGGGGCGGUCGCCUCCUAAAAGGUAACGGAGGCGCUCAAAGGUUCCCUCAGAAUGGUUGGAAAUCAUUCAUAGAGUGUAAAGGCAUAAGGGAGCUUGACUGCGAGACCUACAAGUCGAGCAGGGUCGAAAGACGGACUUAGUGAUCCGGUGGUUCCGCAUGGAAGGGCCAUCGCUCAACGGAUAAAAGCUACCCCGGGGAUAACAGGCUUAUCUCCCCCAAGAGUUCACAUCGACGGGGAGGUUUGGCACCUCGAUGUCGGCUCAUCGCAUCCUGGGGCUGUAGUCGGUCCCAAGGGUUGGGCUGUUCGCCCAUUAAAGCGGUACGCGAGCUGGGUUCAGAACGUCGUGAGACAGUUC
rnacentral:rRNA from 1 species